rnacentral:rRNA from 1 species
UACGUAGGAGGCAAGCGUUGUCCGGAGUUACUGGGCGUAAAGCGCACGCAGGCGGUCCCAUUAGUCUGUAGGGACAGGGCACGGCUCAACCGUGUCAGGCUUACGGAAACUGUGGGACUUGAGGGCUUCAGAGGCAGGCGGAAUUCCGGGUGUAGCGGUGGAAUGCGUAGAGAUCCGGAAGAACACCGGUGGCGAAGGCGGCCUGCUGGGGUCGAGGCUCUUCGGAGCCUGAGCUGACGCUGAGGCGCGACAGCGUGGGGAGCAAACAGG